rnacentral:rRNA from 1 species
CCUACGGGUGGCAGCAGUGAGGAAUAUUGGUCAAUGGCCGGAAGGCUGAACCAGCCAAGCCGCGUGAGGGAGGAAGGCGCAGAGCGUCGCAGACCUCUUUUGCCGGGGGACAAAAUGCCGGACUUGUCCGGCCCUGAGUGUACCCGGCGAACAAGCAUCGGCUAACCCCGUGCCAGCAGCCGCGGUAAUACGGGGGAUGCGAGCGUUAUCCGGAUUCAUUUGGUUUAAAGGGUACGCAGGCGGGCCUUUAAGCCGGCGGGGAAAUCGCGUGGCCCAACCCCGCCGGGCCGUCGGAACUGGGGGCCUGGAGUGCGGCGGAGGCAUGCGGAAUGCGCGGUGUAGCGGUGAAAUGCAUAGAUAUCGCGCAGAACCCCGAUUGCGAAGGCAGCGUGCCGUGCCGCAACUGACGCUGAGGCACGAAAGCGCGGGGAUCGAACAGGAUUAGAUACCCGUGUAGUC